UACAGAGGGUGCAAGCGUUAAUCGGAAUUACUGGGCGUAAAGCGUGCGUAGACGGUUACAUAAGUCAGAUGUGAAAGCCCCGGGCUCAACCUGGGAAUUGCAUUUGAGACUGUGUAGCUAGGGUGCGGAAGAGGGAAGCGGAAUUUCCGGUGUGGCGGUGAAAUGCGUAGAUAUCGGAAGGAACAUCAGUGGCGAAAGCGGCUUCCUGGACCAGCACCGACGUUCAGGCACGAAAGCAUGGGGAGCGAACGGG
rnacentral:rRNA from 1 species